rnacentral:rRNA from 1 species
CGCGUAGGCGGUUUGUUAAGUGUGAAGUGAAAUGCCUGGGCUCAACCUGGGACGUGCUUUGCAUACUGAUGAACUUGAGUCCAAGAGGGGGUGGUGGAAUUCCUGGUGUAGGGGUGAAAUCCGUAGAUAUCAGGAGGAACACCGUUGGCGAAGGCGGCCACCUGGAUUGGUACUGACGCUGAGGCGCGAAAGCGUGGGGAGCGAGCA